CCUCACCCAAGUUCAGCCUGCUGCUGAGUGUGUGUUUGUCUGGCAUUCCCAAACAUCUCAAGAAGCCCCAGAGUAUUUCCAUUGCAUUCGAAUGGUUACAGGAGGAAUUGAUGAUGUUGAUUUAUUCAUUACAGUUAUUUUUCAAUCAUCAGGUAGAGUAAGGCCAAUCAAUUUCAAAAAACCUGAAUGAGUUUUGGGGAUGCUCUGAAAAGUGCCACCUGUCUUCUCCUUAUGCCUAUAUGGACUUUUUGUGAGAAAUGGAACGCCAAUCUUGUGGACCAUUCUGAGGCUGUUAACACCACUGGAAGAGGUAACUUUGGCGCCCCCCUGCAGGGCUUCCCAUCUUCUACUGGGAGGUCAUAGAGCGGAUUCCACAGCCAAUUGAAAUCCUUUGUGAAUUAUCCACUCUCUCCUCUCCUCCUGGGUCAACUACCAAGAUCCAGGGGAAAGGUUCAAAUCAGAUUGCUUCAAUUCAAAUCUCAGAACUAACGGUGCCAUUUUGGAUAAAAUUACAAAUGUUUUUAAACCUCAUUUUGUCACCUGUGCAAUGUGGAAGAUAUUAGCACAUACUUCACAGGGGAGUUGUGAAUAUUGGUUGUUAUAACUCAUGGCAAGCAUUUGGCAUAGUGCUGGUUCAUUAUAAGUAUUCAAGAUAUAUUAGUUAUUAAUGUUUUUCUAAGAUUCGGUGAUAAAUAUUCUGUUGUUAGCACUUUACUAUCAUUACUUAUAAAGUCAUUUUGGUAAAAAUGCAUUGAGUCAAGAUUCUGAUCAAUGUGAUAAGAGGAAACUAAAUAUAUAAUCAAUGAAUUGAAUUAACCUUUUCCAGCCUUUUGAUAUUAUUUAGUCCAGUAUAUUCCUUGUUUGUGCCUCUUUAUAGCCCUUUGAACACCUGGACUGGCAUGCUAGGUUGAUCUUGCACAGAAUGUCAUUGUACCAAAACGUGACUAAAUCAAAUUAUCUUGGUAUCAGAAUUGUCACAUAUCAUCACAAGGAAAUUUCAGAAGGUCUUCUAAUUUUGCUUUUCUACUUUAAAAGAAAAUGCCGCUCAAUAAAUAUUUGAUACAGAACAGCAAACAUUCUGGUUCUCUGCAUCCCAAGUCAUUCAGUGA
rnacentral:lncRNA from 1 species